GCGGUGACCGGCGAUAGACGCCCGUUCUGACGUGUUCAUCUGCAUUUUUCACAGGACUCGGCGGCCGACGGAAUCUGGCAUCGCAAACAUUGGGAUUGCGUCAUGAUCUGAGACGCCCCUGCCCCCACCUGUUAUCGGCAGUUUGGCAGUAGCGGUGACCGGCGAUAGACGCCCGUUCUGACGUGUUCAUCUGCAUUUUUCACAGGACUCGGCGGCCGACGGAAUCUGGCAUCGCAAACAUUGGGAUUGCGUCAUGAUCUGAGACGCCCCUGCCCCCACCUGUUAUCGGCAGUUUGGCAGUAGCGGUGACCGGCGAUAGACGCCCGUUCUGACGUGUUCAUCUGCAUUUUUCACAGGUUUGUCUUCACACAUUCACACAGUGUUUUCCUUUUCCUAUUUUUCUGCUGGUUGCUGCUACUGCCAAACUUGUCGUCGUAGUCAUGCUUUUCGAGGUGUAUGAGAGAUGAGUGUUUCUGAGGAGGACAUAUGCCUUACUUGCAUGCUUACCCUAGAAACUACUGAUGCUAAAGUGAAAUGCAAAAAGUGUGGUAAUUCUUAUCACAUCGAACAGUGCUCUGGACUGACUGAGCCGCUUGAUAAGACGAGAAGUGGCACCAAUUCUCGCAAAAACUAUGUGUGUUCCACGUGUAAAACUGGUGCGCCAUGCGUCGGUGCAGGUGCCGCUGCUGCGGCUCGUCAGGAUUUUAACUUUGCUGUUGCUUUUGCGGAGUUAAGUCAAAAACUUGAUUUUCUAAUGCCACUAAAUGAAAAGAUGAACAGCAUUGAACAGGCAGUGCAAACAAUGUCUGAUCAUUUCGAUACCAUUCUGAAGCGAUUGGACAGCCAAGAUAAACAAAUUGAGCAGCUCCGUAAGAGAACUGAACAGUUGGAACGAGCAAGGCCUGACGAGGAACUACACCAGAUAAACUCUGACUUGAAUGACCUGGAAAUGCGUAGCAGGAGCCGAAACUUGGAAAUUCAUGGGAAACUUUUCAACGA